rnacentral:rRNA from 1 species
GUAGGGAAUAUUGGGCAAUGGAUGCAAGUCUGACCCAGCCAUCCCGCGUGCCGGAAGAAGGCCCUCAGGGUUGUAAACGGCUUUUGACGGUGAAGAAUCGACAGGAUGCGUCCUGUUUUGACGGUAGCCGUUGAAUAAGCACCGGCUAACUCCGUGCCAGCAGCCGCGGUAAUACGGAGGGUGCGAGCGUUGUCCGGAUUUAUUGGGUUUAAAGGGUGCGUAGGCUGGAAGGUCAGUCAGCGGUGAAAAGCUGUCGCUUAACGAUAGUCUUGCCGCAGAUACUUCCUUUCUUGGAUGAGGAGGAGGCCACUGGAACGGAUGGUGUAGCGGUGAAAUGCAUAGAUAUCAUCCAGAACACCGAUUGCGAAGGCAGGUGGCUGUACCUUAAUCGACGCUGAUGCACGAAAGCAUGGGGAGCAAACAGGAUUAGAAACCCCUGUAGUCC